GACGGAGGAUGCAAGUGUUAUCCGGAAUCACUGGGCGUAAAGCGUCUGUAGGUGGUUUAAUAAGUCAACUGUUAAAUCUUGAGGCUCAACCUCAAAAUUGCAGUCGAAACUAUUAGGCUAGAGUAUAGUAGGGGUAAAGGGAAUUUCCAGUGGAGCGGUGAAAUGCGUAGAGAUUGGAAAGAACACCGAUGGCGAAGGCACUUUACUGGGCUAUUACUAACACUCAGAGACGAAAGCUAGGGUAGCAAAUGGG
rnacentral:rRNA from 1 species